AGUGGCGGACGGGUGAGUAACGCGUGGGUAACCUGCCCCAUACAGGGGGAUAACAGAUAGAAAUGUCUGCUAAUACCGCAUAAGACCACAGCGCCGCAUGGCGCAGGGGUAAAAACUCCGGUGGUAUGGGAUGGACCCGCGUCUGAUUAGCUAGUUGGUGGGGUAAAGGCCCACCAAGGCGACGAUCAGUAGCCGACCUGAGAGGGUGACCGGCCACAUUGGGACUGAGACACGGCCCAAACUCCUACGGGAGGCAGCAG
rnacentral:rRNA from 1 species